rnacentral:tRNA from 1 species
GGUCUGAUGGUCUAGAGGUAUGAUUCUCUCUUAGGGUGGGAGAGGUCCCGGGUUCAAUCCCCGGUCAGACCCG